CUACACGGGAGGUAGAGAGAGAGAGAGAGAGCUCGACACGGGAGGUAGAGAGAGAGAGAGAGAGCUCGACACGGGAGGUAGAGAGAGAGAGAGAGCUCGACACGGGAGGUAGAGAGAGAGCUCGACACGGGAGGUACAGAGAGAGAGAGAGAGAGCUCGACACGGGAGGUAGAAAGAGAGAGAGAGCUCGACAUGGGAGGUAGAGAGAGAGCUCGACAUGGGAGGUAGAGAGAGAGAGACUGCUCGACACAGUGGAGGUAGAAAAAAAGAGCUAGUGUAAGGGUUUUCCUGUGGUGAAGGAGAAGCGGACCAAAAUGCAGCGUGGUGGUUAUUCAUGUUCUUUAAUAAAGGAACUAGACAUGAAAUAACUAACAAAACAAUAAAUGUGCGAAAACCUAAACAGUCCUAUCUGGUGCAAACACAGAGACAGGAACAACCACCCACAAACACACAGUGAAACCCAG
ensembl:lncRNA